rnacentral:rRNA from 1 species
GAUGAACGCUAGCUACAGGCUUAACACAUGCAAGUCGAGGGGCAGCAUUAGGUAGCAAUACUGAGAUGGCGACCGGCGCACGGGUGCGUAACGCGUAGUCCAACCUUCCCGUUACUCUCGGAUAGCCUUCCGAAAGGGAGAUUAAUACGAGAUGGUGUUUGAAUUCCGCAUGUUAUUCAACUAAAGAUUCAUCGGUAACGGAUGGGGAUGCGUGACAUUAGGUAGAUGGCGGGGUAACGGCCCACCAUGCCUACGAUGUCUAGGGGUUCUGAGAGGAAGGUCCCCCACACUGGAACUGAGACACGGUCCAGACUCCUACGGGAGGCAGCAGUGAGGAAUAUU